ensembl:lncRNA
GAGGCAGGAAAAACGCAGCGCCGGGGCCACUUACCGCGCCGAGGACCCUCGGUUCCCGCCGCUCCGCUCUCCCAAAUGGUCGGUCCGCCCUCCGCGCACCCCAAGGCUGCACCCCGCACCCCAAAGUCGAGACGUGUAGGAAUAUUGUUAAGAGCCAGGAGCCCCUCCAAGUUGCUCCGGGCUCCUGGGAGCUUCAACGUCCAAGACACAACUUGGCCAAGACUUGUGCCACGGUCCCCGAAGAUGUUUCGGUGGAGACCCUCCUCCGGCGGGGAGAGACGCGCUCGGCGGCGCCCCGCUCGCCGCCUCUCCACCCCCUCACCUCCAGCCCGCCUCCCGCCGGCCGCCCGCCCCCGGGCCGCGAGCCCCUCGGGCGGCUGUCAGCUCCCGGCCGCCGCCGGGUGACAGGGGCGGGAGGAGGGCGCGACGCGGCGGCCCGAGCCCGAGCGGGCGAGGGGGAUCCUCGCAGCAGCGGCGGCCGCUCACCUGGAAAGUCACCGCUGAGAAGGAGGAGGAGGAGGAGGAGGAAGAGUGGGGAGAGGAGGAGGGGGAGGAAACCCCCCUGGUGCCCUUGUUCUCGCUGCCGCGGCGGCCGCUCCUCGCCAAGGCUGAGCGUGUCUGGUGGGGGGUGUCUGGUAGCAUUUCCUUAAGGACAGAGGGAGGGCGGGCGCGGAGGGAGGGAAGAGAUCCCGACCGCCUGCCCAGGCUCCUCUUUCCUCUAUUUAUUUUUCUGACACUGUACGGCGAUGGGCCCGGGGCAGGGGCCGCCGGGCUCGCGAGGGAGCCGCGAGGCCCGGGCCGCAGCAGUGUGCGUGCGGGAGCCGCAGCGGCCGCCUCCCCUCCCGGGCUGUGGACGCACCGGGUUAUUCCUGGCAGCGCCUCCCCGAACAGAAGUUACUAGGAGGAGUGCGCGGCGAGGGCGGGCGCGGGGAGAGGCGGGGGGAGGGAGGGAGGAAGAGGGAGAGACUCAGCCAGCGACGUCAUCGGAUCCCCCAGCGCGUCCCUAGGAGGGAGGCUGAACCAGAAAAACCAGUCUGGAGCCGGCGAGCGCGAGAGGGAUGUGCGGCGCGCCGGGCGGCCGGGGAGGGAGGCGGCCGGGAGGGCAGGGCCGGGCCCCGCCGCGGCCGCUCCGGGCGGGAAGAUCGCGGCCGCGGUCACGCUCCCUCGGAUCGGGGAACUCCCCCGAGAGCCGGUCUCUACUCGUCAUGCAAAAAAAAAAAGACUUGGGCGUCUCUAGGAGCCCGAGAACUUCCUUCAGGGAUGUGAAAUCUCCUCCCCGCCCCCCAUCUUCCCCAUUUCCCGUAUAACCGUUCCCUGUGUUGAUGACAAACGGAAUUACUGAAUAUUUAGGAUGGUCAUGAUUUUGUCCGUGGACCUCUGAUCCCUUUCCUCGCUCUCGCCCUCGGCUCUACUCACGGUUAUGUUAUCGGUCAACAGAAACAAAAUCAGACUGUAGCUCCUGGCUGCGCUUCUCAAGCUGUGCCAAGCGUUUUACUAGCACUUUCCGUGCCCCUGCGGAAGCACGAACUUUUCAGGCGCUCGAAAGGCCCCCAUUGCCUCCCCUGGGGUCGCUCGCCAGGGCGCCGCGGGCGCACCCAGCUCUGGGAACGCGGCCCGCCCUCGCCGGGGUAUUCAAAUCGGGGUGGGCAGCGGCGCGGGGCGCAGCUGCCGGCUUCCUGGUGGGCCGUGCCGGGGCCCGGGGCGGGCCGCCGCCUCCAGCCCGCGCGCUGCCCUCUCCUCGGACGGGACGCGAGCGACACCCUACCCGGCGCGGGAAGCGAGGGGCCCGGGGAAUCCCAGCUUCCUUUCCCAUCAAACUCACGUUCUCUCAAACCUGCUGAUCUCAGAGAGUUGUCAACAGAAAAACCAACUAUUCAAGCCUAAAGUGAAAAUAUAAUUUCCGAAGAGUGAAGCGACUUCGUGGAAACACAGGAUCCCAUCCAGGAGGCCAUUUAGUCAUCAUGUCUCCUCAGGAGCCUCCAGACUGUGGCAGUUUCUCAGACUUCCCUUGUUUUUGGUGACCUUGACAGUUUGGAGCAACUCUGGUUAAAUAUUUUGUAGACUGUCCCUCAAUUUGUACUCAUGUGAUCUUUUUCCUCAUGACUAGACAGAGGUUAUGAAUUUGGAGAAGAAGAACACAGAGUUGUAGGUCCCUCUGGCUGAGCUAUGUGGGAUGCUGCCUCAGCAUGGCUUGAGGAGCGGUGCCACGUCUGCCCCGAGGAUCCAAACUGGCGAAACCCUCGGCCAAGGAAAUGGAGUGCAUGAACUUAACCACUCGGCCAUGGGGCAGGCCCUAGAUUUCUCUUAAUGUUAAUAUGAGUAAAGGUGAUGCGUGGGUCUUUGCUUGAUGGGCAGAAGGGCUUUUCACCCCUCCUGAGGCCUACCUGAAAUUCUCAGACAUCCGGUCACCCUUCACAAGCUCUGUGGACUUGCACAGGAGGAAGGAGCAGCUCCACUCUGUCAGUUUGCAUCACCUCAGGAAACCCAGCCGGAAAAAGCCGCUCCUAUUCCAGUUUCUCGUCUCUCACACCUCCCACUAAAGAGCCCCAAGAGUCUGCUUCUGAAAAAUAAAUUUUAUAUAGUGAAGUGAUAAGAGAACAAAACACGUCCUGAUUUGAAGCUCCAUUUUUAACACCAUUUUUGUGAAAUGACAAAACAAAAAGAACAAAUUUAAGAAACAUGAGAAGCCCCAUUCAUUU